UCGUUGAAGGGUUCGGACGUGUUUUUCGAAGCUCUCGACGUCGUACUCAGUAUAAAUUGAACUGGGCUGGCAAAGAACGCUCAGUUGCGACUUUGAAAUUGACCGUUACGGACGUGUUUUUUAUGCGCUCUUUUUUUUACAUUGACUUAAUCUUAGUUCAAUGAAAGACUUUGACAAAGACGGACGUACUUUCGUGAGCUCUGACUAUUGAUGAAAAGUUUUGAGUUUAACUGACUUGUACUUUGAGAGUUAAAUUGACUUCGCGUUAUAGAAUAGCGACUUGGUACUCGGGUUAUGGAAUUACUGGUGGACUGCAGUGUUAGGGUAUUGUCAUGAGAUGACGGCUUGACUUUUACUUGCGUUGUGAAAUGAAAUCAUGCUCUCAUGCGAUGAUAACUUUUGAACGUUUAGUACUGACUGACAACGAAUUUUUGUGAGCGACUUGACUUCACUUUAAGUUUUGACAUCGGACUGAUCGGACGUGUUUUUUUAAGCCCUGACUGUUGUGAAUAAUUAAAUUUAUGUUGUGGUGUCAAGCGAUUGACUGUCAGUUGAGGUUCAGAUGUCGAGCUGUGCGGACGUGUUCAUCGAGCUGCUGUCUACAAAAAACGGGGCUGUGGUGAGUAUUGUAGUAUAAAUUUGUUUCAAUAAAUCAUGAUGAAUGAAAACUGAUUUCGAUUCGUUUUGUACAGGUUUACUUGUAUAGAAGUGUAAUGCGUUGGGUAGAAAUUACUCAGUACUGAUAUAGUGUCGAUAUGUUGUGAUUAGCGAUGAUGGUGUAUGAUGGUGGAACAGAAUAUGAGCUUCUUUGGGGAAACGAACAUAUGAUUGAAAAAAAUUUGCAAACAUAGUAGAUAAAUGAUAUGAUAUUGCUUAAAUUGUAUUUGCAUGCUGUAACAUUUCUAUUUCAUUUCAGGGUGCUGUGGUGAGUACUGUAGAUUGUAGUGCAUAUGUAUAGAAUUCAAUAAAAGAUUAUGACUGAAAACUGCUUUUGAUUCUUAUUGUACAGUUUUAGGGAUUAUAAGUCUAUAGCAACUCUGUCGGUUGGUGUUCAUGAGUGUGAGCUUAAUACAGCAAUGUUUGAGUAGUACAAAAAUGUUUUCGCUUUUGUGGUCGCCAGCUGUCCGUGAUCUGUAAAGUGAAAAUACACAGAGCUAUGAAGCAUACAAAUGUUUCGAAAUUUUAUCAAUGAUUGUAUACUAUGCAUGUUUUGAUUUAGUUCGUUUCAGAUUUGACAUGAGAUGAAAACCUGACAUGAUUUGAACAGAGCUGGGAAACGAAAAGGUAAGUCUGUUUCAUUCCACUAUGAACACUUGUAUUUUGACAAAAGAAGAGAUAAAGUGAGUUACUUUAUCAUCAUGGUUUCAUUUAGUGAACAGAGGUAAACCUAGCUAGCUUUUCGUGUACUCUAUUUUGGAUGAUGAGUAUGUCAGUAACUUUAAUUGUACGGCUAGUAAAGUAUGAACAUGAAUGCUUUGUUCAGAUUUUCAGAUGUGUGCUGGCAGUUCAAGUCUGGCAGCUGGAGUGAACAGUCGUGUUUUCUGGAGCUCCAACAAUAUGCUAGAAGGUAAGUAACUAUGUUUGUUUUGCAUUGCAUGUUUUUAUAUGUUUCAGACUUUCAAGCAGAGAUGUCAUGCUGACUGGAGUUGAGCACAGGGCAGUGACAAAGUGAAAGGUAAGUACUUUUGACUGAAUGUUUGUUCUAUGCAUGUUUUGUUUUAAUACAUUUCAGGAGUGCUUAUCCAGUGAUGAUAUGACAGUUGGAGUGAACAGUGGAGCCAAGCAGUCUUGUUUUUGGAGCUACUCAACAAGCCUUGAAGGUAAGUUUAGAAUUUCUCAAUGUUAGUGAAUUGAAGUACUGUCACUUGCUUUUGGACAGUCGAACAGAACAGACGUGGUUGCGAGAGCUCUCAUAUCUGUUGUGUUAAACUGUUUUUAUGAUAUGUUAUGUUUGUUUGUUUGUUUGUGAUGUACUAUUUUUCAGAUGCUGAUGGCAGUGAUGGGUUUUCAAGCUGACCUGAACAGAAAAGCACUCAUAUGGUAAGUACAAAAUAGUUGUUAUAUGGGAUGUUUUGUGCAUGCUUUUAUGUUUCAGGUGUACUUGCUGACAGCGACGAAGACGAAUCAAGAAGAGGAACAUUGUUGAGAAAGUGAUUGGGACUUGAAAACAGGGUAAGUGUAACACUUGUGUUUGUUUAAUUUGUAACAUGCGUGCUUUGCUCUGUUUCAGAUUUCACAUGCAGAAAUUAAACAGGAUUUCAACUGCUGAGACACAAAUCAUCAAAAGUAAGGUAAGUUUUAAUCCAUUGAUUUGAGUUGUACAAUGUGUUCUUUACUUUAUUUCAGAUUCGAGUCACUGGUUUACACAUGGAAGAAGAUUUCCACGUCUGUUACUCAACUCUACAGAAGCAAGUUGAUGUCCAGAUGGCAAGCAGUACAGACGUGUUUCUUGGAGCUGCCAAACAGUGAGUACAAACGUUUUAUAUUUUUCAGUUGUUUACUCAUAGAAGUCUGUGAAAGAUGAUAACAAGGGUUGAAUCUAUCAGCACUUGUGUCUAAAAAUGCUGAUGUGUGACGGUUUACUGGAAAGGGUAAAUGCUAGCCAGUACUUACACUUGAGCAACCGUGGGAUGUCGAACUAACUGAUGAUGUACUAUGAUGGUGAACACUUACUAUGUGUAUCAAAAUGCUUUUGUUGAUAUUUACUAUAGAUGAUUUGAUAUUGGUUAACAUUUGUUUGCAUGCUGUUAACAUUUCUAUUUCAUUUCAGGGAGCUGUGGUAAGUAUUGUAGUAUUAAUUUGUCUCAAUAAACGAUGAUGAAUGAAAACUGAUGUCGAUUCUUUUUGUACAGUUUUAGGUAUUAGCACUCUAUACAAAACUCUGUCGGUCGGUGUUUGUGAAUGUGAGCUUAAUGUUUGAGUAGAACAAAAAUGUCUUUACUUUUGUGAUCGCCAGUUGUCUGUGAUGUAAAGUGGAAAAAACACAGCUAUGAAGCAUACAAUUGUUUCAAUAUUUUAUCAAUGAUAGUGUGCUAUGCAUGUUUUGAUUUAGUUCGUUUCAGAUAUGACAUGACAUGAAGAGUUGACAGUCGAACAGAGCUGAGCAAUGCAGAAAGGUAAGUGUGUUUCAUUUUAGUAUGAACACUUGUAUUUUGUUUUUAUAUGGUAUGUUUUGUGCAUGCUAUGUUUCAGGUGUACUUGUAGUCAGCGACGAAGACGAUUCAAGAAGAGGAACAUUGCUGAGAAAGUGAAUGGGACUUGCAAACAGGGUAAGUGUAACAAUUGUGUUUGUUUAAUUUGUAACAUGCGUGCUUUGCUCUGUUUCAGAUUUCACAUGCAGAAAUGGUCUCAUAGCAGUGCCAACAGUGAAUAAGGAUUUCAGCUGCUGUGAAACAACUCAACAGAAAGUAGGUCAGCAUUGAAUGAAUGCACUUGAGUUGUACAAUUUGAUGUGAUGCUUUUCUCUGUUUCAGAUUCAAGUUCCUGGUGUAGACAGAGAAAUGUGUUUGAAGAAGGAAUUCUACUACUGUGAUUCAACUCUACAGAAGCAAGGUAAGUAGAAACACAAUUUUGGUUUAAUUUAACUCAUGUGUUUUGCACUGCAUGCUAUUUUUCAGGUCUCUCAUGCAGUGAUGCAAAAGAAGAAGAUUUCAAGAAAGAAUCACUGCUGCAACUCAGGCCUAUAACAAGGUAAGUGUUUACUAUAUUGUAUACAAAAUGUUUCUCUGUUUUACUCUGUUUGAAGGUUUCAAUUGCAGAGAUGUUGCAGAGAUGUUUUGACAGCUUGUGACAGAAAAGAAAUUCAGCAGCUGUGUCUCGACUCUAGCCACGAGGUAAGUCAAAACAAAUAUACUGGUUUGUAUGUUAUGUUGUUAUGCCCUUCUAUGUUUCAGACUUACAUUGCUGUGACUGUUCCACAGUGGGUCAAAAAAGAGACGAAUACAGGUUUCAAGAAGAAAAUUGGCUGUUAAAAACCUGCACAAAAUAUGAGGUAAGUAAACUACUCUUUUGGUUUGUUUUGUGCUUUGUUAUGCUUAACUAUUUUUCAGAUUGGAAUGGUGGGUCGUUACAGAGCAGACUUUUGGACUACUGAGAAGUUGAGAAACAGAGAAUGAUUCAAGAUCAGCUAGGUAAGUCUUGAUUAUUAUGCAUUGCUAAAUGUUUUUUUCAUUCCAGUAUGGCUGUGGUAAGUACACAAACUUUCUAUAAUUUAAUAUUGAACUGUUUUUAUGACCUGUAUUCUGCAUUGUAAAAUGUCUGUUUUUCAUUUCAGUAUCCUGUGGUAAGUACACUAACUUUGUAUAAUUUCAUAUUGAAAUGUUUUGAUGACUUGUAUCCUGCUAUGCAAUGCUUAAUAUAUUUUUCAUUUCAGUGUGGCUGUGGUAAGUACACUAACUUUCUUUUCUUUUUCAUAUUGAACUGUUUUGGUGACUUGUAUUCUGCUAUACAAAAUGUGUUUUUUUCAUUUCAGUUGCCUGUGGUAAGUACAAUUGCCUUCUUUAAUUUUCAUAUUGAACUGUUUUGAUGACUUGUAUACUGCAUUGUAAAAUGUGUUUCUUUUUCAUUUCAGUAUGGCUGUGGUAAGUACAAUUGCCUUCUUUAAUUUUCAUAUUGAACUGUUUUGAUGACUUUUAUUCUGCCAUACAAAAUGUGUUUUUUUUCAUUUCAGUUGCCUGUUGGUAAGUACAAUUUGCUUUCUUUAAUUGCAUAUUGAAAUAUGUUUUAUGACUUUUAUUCUGCUAUGCUUUUUUCAUUUCAGUUUGGCAGAUGUAAGUACACUUCAUUUAUGUAAAAACUGAAUAUGAUUGUUGUGCUAUACAAAAUGUGCUUUUUUCAAUUUCAGGUCAGCAAUGGUAAGUUUAUUGUGUUUCUUUAUGUAUAAUUUUGUAUACAUAUUGUUUUUUUCAUCAUAGCAUGUUUUUUAUAUUUAUGCUUUGUGUAAGUAAAAUGUUCAUAAAUCAUUCUUAUCUUUAAACUAAAAAUGUAUUUUGAUAUGCAAAAUGUCUGUAUGAUUUCAGUUGCCAGAGGUGAGUACCAUUACAGUUGAAAAGUUAGUUUUGUUUAGUUAAAGUUUUGGUUCACAGUUCUGUUUAUUAUUUGGCAAAAUUUACAUGUAUGCAUUGAGUCUUGAUUUCAGCUCGAUUGUGGACUGAAGAAGAUUGCCAGCAGAGGGAUUGGAUACAAAAUACAAACUUUACUGCUAGACGAGUGUUCUCUACUACUUGACGAGUCAGCUUUACUACCAGGCGAGCAGUGACAACAAGGCGCCUUUGUGGAAACAACACAACAAAAAACUGUACUGCUAGACGAGCAGUGACAGAAAGGCGCCUGAACAUGCAACACAAAACAAAAAAUGCCAAUUUGCAAACCUUGAUGUGGAAACCGAGUAGUCAAUACAUACGUGUGGCGUAUAGCUGCGACAAAACCGUGGGUCCAUCGCACCGAUAACUUGAACAUUGGCCCGUGUAUGGACAUCAGUGCAACUUUGUGAAUCCAUGUAACUUUGUGAAUCCAUGUAACAUUGCGAAUGUGUGUCGAUCGAAAAAUGUGAACAUUAUGCAAUGAAACGAACUCGGUGUUGCAAGUGGCAAGUGUUGACAGUGUGCAUGUUUAUGUUUAUGUUUUUACAUGAAAAAUAAAGGAGAUUGUUCUCCUACCUUUUUUUUCCUUGUUUUAUUGUGCUGGCCAGCAAUAUUGAUGUAUUGAUGUAUUGAUGUAUGUGUUUGUGUAUUAACGAUGUAUUAACUAUGCAUUACCAAAAUCAAACAAAACUUUGGCACAAGAGACUCUAAGUAUCAAAUACCAACAAUUUAAGCGCAGACAAUCACAUGGUGGUACACCAGUCCGAAUAUACUCAUUGCUCUAGCCAGGAUUGCAAAUUACUUGUGUUGACUAGCAAGGCUCCCUAGUAACGGAGCAGUGUUACUGGCGUUUUUUGGGUCGAUAGUGCUUAGGUGAGGUUUUGCUCGAAUCGGGAGCGGGUCACUCGCUUGGGCGAGUUAGUUUUCGCUCGUAGUUUCCAAUCUGGCUAGAUCAAUGUAAGGUUGUUUUGACUGCUAUUUGGCAAGCAGAAAGACAACAGCGGUUAAUUGACUGAGUAUGGGCGACCGAGGUAUGUAGGUGUCAAUAGACCGACUCCACAAGUUGCGAAGCGAACCGAUAGCACUUGAGGGGAAACGCCUCGGUUUUCGGUUCUAACAUGUGUUAUCCAUGCUGUCGUUAUACUCUGGCAAGGCUCCUCAAUCUAUCGCGAGGGACACUCAUUAUUGCCCGCAAGCUUUAGAACCUGACGUGGGUCGAUGCGUAUGCGAGUCCGAGGACGCGAUGGCAUUUGAUAAGGCUACCAACCGGUUGAUAACACGCAUUGUUCAAAUUGUUAGGUUUAAGUCUGCUAGGGCUGGGGUGGGAA